GAUCCUGGCUCAGGAUGAACGCUAGCUACAGGCUUAACACAUGCAAGUCGAGGGGCAGCAUGGUCUUAGCUUGCUAAGGCCGAUGGCGACCGGCGCACGGGUGAGUAACACGUAUCCAACCUGCCGUCUACUCUUGGACAGCCUUCUGAAAGGAAGAUUAAUACAAGAUGGCAUCAUGAGUUCACAUGUUCACAUGAUUAAGAGUUACGUUCGGAGA
rnacentral:rRNA from 1 species